GAUGAACGCUAGCUACAGGCUUAACACAUGCAAGUCGCGGGGCAGCAUGAAGUCAGCUUGCUGACUUUGAUGGCGACCGGCGCACGGGUGAGUAACGCGUAUCCAACCUGCCUGUUACCACGGCACAGCCCGUCGAAAGGCGGAUUAAUGCCGUAUGUGGUCCUUUGCGGGCAUCUAAUUGGGACUAAAGGUUCAGCGGUAACGGAUGGGGAUGCGUCCGAUUAGCUAGACGGCGGGGUAACGGCCCACCGUGGCGACGAUCGGUAGGGGUUCUGAGAGGAAGGUCCCCCACACUGGAACUGAGACACGGUCCAGACUCCUACGGGAGGCAGCAGUGAGGAAUAUUGGUCAAUGGGCGUAAGCCUGAACCAGCCAAGUAGCGUGAGGGAAGACUGCCCUAUGGGUUGUAAACCUCUUUUGUGCGGGGAUAAAGUGUGGGACGUGUCCCAUAUUGCAGGUACCGCACGAAUAAGGACCGGCUAAUUCCGUGCCAGCAGCCGCGGUAAUACGGAAGGUCCGGGCGUUAUCCGGAUUUAUUGGGUUUAAAGGGAGCGCAGGCCGUCCUUUAAGCGUGCUGUGAAAUGCCGCGGCUCAACUGUGGCACUGCAGCGCGAACUGGAGGACUUGAGUACGCACGAGGUAGGCGGAAUUCGUGGUGUAGCGGUGAAAUGCUUAGAUAUCACGAAGAACUCCGAUUGCGAAGGCAGCUUACCGGAGCGCAACUGACGCUGAGGCUCGAAAGCGCGGGUAUCGAACAGGAUUAGAUACCCUGGUAGUCCGCGCGGUAAACGAU
rnacentral:rRNA from 1 species